rnacentral:rRNA from 1 species
AUUGAACGCUGGCGGCAUGCCUUACACAUGCAAAUCGAACGGUAACGGGCCUUCGGGUGCCGACGAGUGGCGCACGGGUGAGUAAUACAUCGGAACGUGCCCGAUCGUGGGGGAUAACGAGGCGAAAGCUUUGCUAAUACCUCAUACGAUCUACGGAUGAAAGCCGGGGACCGCAAGGCCUUGCGCGGACGGAGCGGCCGAUGGCAGAUUAGGUAGUUGGUGGGAUAAAAGCUUACCAAGCCGACGAUCUGUAGCUGGUCUGAGAGGAUGAUCAGCCACACUGGGACUGAGACACGGCCCAGACUCCUACGGGAGGCAGCAGUGGGGAAUUUUGGACAAUGGGCGCAAGCCUGAUCCAGCCAUGCCGCGUGCAGGAUGAAGGCCUUCGGGUUGUAAACUGAUUUUGUACGGAACGAAAAGCCUUCUUUUAAUACAGGAGGGUCAUGACGGUACCGUAAGAAUAAGCACCGGCUAACUACGUG